GAGGAAAUAUAAACCCGUAUCUCUUUUUUGUAUUCAAAUGCUAUUUUUUGUAUCUGAGAACUCGCGUAUCUAAAAUAAGCUCGUAUAAUCUGGUAUAAGUUUGGAAUUAUUAUUUCACCCUUAUCCCUAGAACAACAGAAAAUAAAAUUAAUUAAAUUCUAAUUAAAAAUUUUAAAUUAUUAAUUAAUGUAAUUAAUAAAUUUAAAUUAUUAAUUAAUCUAGCUAAUAUUAAAUUAUUAUCUCCAGAUAACUCGCUAAGGGUGAAAACAACUGUUGGAAAUAGCUGAUCCCACUUCCCACCCCUAUUUUAAAUUUUAAAAAUUUUAAAUUUUAAAUUUUAAAAAUUUUAAAUUUUUGAAAUUUAAAUUUUAAAAUUUAUAAUUUGUAAUCUCAAAAUAAAGUUUACAGUUUUCAAUUCUAAAUUUUAAAUUUUAAAUUUUAAAUUUUAAAAAUUUUAAAUUUAAAAGUUGAUAUUUAUAUUUUUUAAAUUUAAUCUUAAAUUUAAAGUUUGAAAGUUAAAAUUUAAAAUUUAAAAAUUUUGCAUUUUAAAAUUUAAGAUUUUAUAUUUUAGCUUUUAAUUUUGAAAUUUGAAAUUUAAAAAUAUAAAUAUAAAAUUUAACAAUUCAAAUUCAAAUAUAAUGAGAGGGGUAAUAUUAUUAUUUUUUAUUCUUCUUAUUUUUUAUUUUAUCUAUUCAAACGCUAUUUUUCAUAUUUAUGGAGACAAUUUAAUUUUUAUCCGAACGUAAAAUUAGUUUAGUUCUUAUUUAUACUUGAAUUUAUAUCUAUUUCUGAAAUAGACAGCGAACCAAAUGAUACGUUAAUGAUUGUAGCUAGUGUGGCAUUGUAUGUAGGGAUGUAAAU
rnacentral:lncRNA from 1 species